rnacentral:tRNA from 1 species
GAGGCCGUAGUUCAGUUGGUAGAGCACCUGGUUGUGGUCCAGGAAGUCGCGGGUUCGAGUCCCGUCGGUCUCC